AAAGAUAUUCAGAGUAUUUCGUGGGGCUCGGGGCCCUGCAGGAUUGCCCCUAGUUUUCAUUUGCAAAUAUAAAGAAAUGAAUGGAAUUAGAGAUUGGAAUGACAGCUCAGAUACUUGAAAGCAUGAGUUGGAGCUGAUGUGAAAAUAGAGGGUUUUAAGUGCCUAAAGUGAGGGAGAGAAAAGGAGACAGUAUUUAAGGAAUUUAAGAUCUUGAAGUGGAAAAGGCCUAGAAGAGCCAUAACUGCUGAGUCUUGGAAAGAAAAUGAAACAGAGUGUCUGCAUGCAAUUUCCUUAAGAUCCUGCUCUAUAGCCUGAUGAUUCAUAGUAAUUCAAAACCCCAACAGAGAGAGAAUCUUCGUUUUCGGGAUUUCCCAGUCUUGGAAGGCAGCCAUCAAACACAUGAUUGUUUUUGAGUAAAUUUUUGUACUUCUUACUACAAUAAAAUAUAUUUAUAAUAAAAAUUUUAAGGAAGAUGCUGCUUUAUAGUUAGCAGAUUAAUUGUGAAAUUAUGAGUUAUAUCAUUGAUGACUUGGAAAAGAUAAAAAUAGAGAUUUGGAAAUUUUGUGAAAACUUAAAUAGG